UUUCAAGUGAAACUGUUCUGUAUUUGGAAACCUGAUAUGUUGGCUGCCGUCUUAGGCUAAAUUUAGGGGAGUUAAAGGGAUCACCAAGCUCAGGAAAGAUUCACGGGUCUAGCUGCUCUGACCUAGCUCCUAUGAUUCUCAAUCUCAUGGCUUAUUAACCUAGUGAACAUGGCUAUUUCAUGAACUGGCUCCCCACCCCCUUCUCUUAAUGAAGUAAGCAAUUCCUGGACUGCUCUCAGAAUUGCAUUCUCAUACAUUUCUGGUACAAUGGGUGAUAUAGCCCUAGAGACAGAAAUUGACAUCCUUGAUGAAGAAGGAAAACUUUAUGCAGCUGAUUCUUUGAAUAAUUUAAACAAAUUGAAUGUUUGCAGUGAUCCACAACUGCUUUUAUCUGCAGAGCUGCCCUUUAGCCCCCAGGAUAAUGCUACACAGGAUACCAAGGGAAACCAGAAUGAUACCCAAGAAAGGCCCAAAGCAGCUGAUGGACAUUCUCGCUUGGAAGAAGGAAAAAGCCAUGAAACGUGGUGCAGUUGUUCCAGAUGCUUGUGCAUAUUUCUCAUAAUCCUCGCAGUGGCGCUGGCAGCAAGUCUUGUCCUGUCUUCCUUCGCAAUUUAUUUAACAGCACAAACCACGAGGAAGGUGGAGGAGCUGUCUAGCAACGACUUGUACCAAGAAAUCCUGAAGGAGAUGAAAGGAUGGAAAGUUCUCAUUUCAGAGUAUUUAAACAUCUCAGCAGCUGAUAAUCAAAGGGAGAGUUAAUUCAGAAAGUUCUCCUAAUGGCUCAAUUGACAGAACAUGGAAGGUUGCCAUGUCAUUUUGUGUUACCACUGUGGUGAUUGUCACUUCGUAGUGCAUUCAUCUUGCAGAAAGCAUUAUUUAUAGCAAUGACAUGUCUGCUUUUCUCUUUAAAAGAGGAACCAGACAAUGCAAGCACUGCCCUCUCCUAGAGUAGUUUUUGGAAUUAUGUAAUGAUUACAAUGCGCUGCUCUGCAUAAUUAAGUGCAUCUGCAUGGAGAGAAUGUGGUUGAUGUUGACUUCAUCCAAUACAUAUCCUACACAAAGUAAUUCAGCUCAGGUGAGAACCUCAAUAAUUCUGUUUUUCCAGCUAAAGUAAAAUAAUGGUACUCUGCAUUUGCAGAAGAAAAAUUAGCUAGAUGCUCAUUUUGUCCAGCUACUAGUAAAGACUAUGGCAAACAUAAAAACUUGGAUAUAUAUUAAGCAGAUUAGUAUUUUUGACAUUUCCCAAUCACAUAAGUGUUCUUUGUUUUUCUAAAAUGACCUACCUAGAUAGAGCAUGGAGGAGAUUGAGGGCAUAAUUUGUUUGAUCAUUAGCUGUUUUUUCUUAUCUUGCUUUUUUGACUGAGUAGCACUUGGUCCAAAAAUAUUCUCAAGAUACUACCAACUGGUGCUGGACAAUCAGCCAGCUUCCUUCAGAUAUUGAUCUCCAGUUUUAGUCCUCUGGACCAUGUCCAGGUCUUUCAAACUUUGACACAAGUCUCUGUGGUCUUCUCUUUCCAAAGGUAAUGAUGAAAAGUUCUUUCAAAUGCCACUUUCACUUACACACUUUUCAGUGCAAUUAUUUUUCUGGUACCGCAUUUCACAAACAUUUUCAAAACUUUAGAUACAUUUUUGUUAUAUGGCAUUCAGAAGUGAAUUUGCAAAUAUGAACAUUGUCAUCAUUAUGCAUUUUAAUCUUUUAGUCUUUAAUUCAGCAUUUCAUGUUACAUAACCCAGAUUUCUGCUAGCAUUUGUUUUCCUUUAGAUUGUCCAGAAGAAACUAUGUGACAGAUUUACACAAACACAACCUUUUCAAGUAUUUUUUCUCUUUCGAAAUUGUUUGCACCUUAUGAUACCUUUCACUUUUUCACAAAUAAUUCAUUUUGAGUGGCUGUCACAUUCUGGAUGCAGUCUGUAAUCUUUUAAAAUUCCUUUGCUUUCCCAUCUUGUUUGAUAUCAUUUUUUAAAUCACAAAUUUUUCCUAGUAUUUUAAUGUCCAGGUCAUUAAUAUAGAUUAGGAUGACCAACUGCUUUAGCAUUAAUAAGCUACCCACUCCAAACUAAACUGCAUGUCCUUUUAAACUGUUUAUGUUUUCAAAGCAAGUGUACAGUACUUUUAUUUUGAAUGUAUAAAUCCCAGUGCUUUCUCUAAAUACCUUAUCAUGAAUCUGAAAUAUACUGUAUGUAUGUAACAGAAAUAUCAGUUCACUUUAGGAACCUACUAUUUUGUAAGUGUUUGUUGGCGAUUCUGACAAAGAAGAGUACAGUCAUUAUCCCACAGGUGGUAGCUUUGUACCAUUGGCUCCUCAGCUACUGUACUGUACACCAAGUGUCUGAACCUGUGUUACCUUAAUGAGCUGGAUUACUACUGCAACGACACGUCUAUCUAUAGGAUAAAACUAACUUGUCUCAUGAUGGUCUAAACCCAGUUCAUGUUCCCUAUUAGAAAAAUCUUUGUCAUGCCAAUUUGUUUGGCUAAGCCCCAACACUCAAUAUUUUCUAAGGUUUGGGGAUAAGACGUACUGUAGUAUUAAAGGGUAAAUUAUUAUUUUACUAGAGGAGGUUUAACAGACUAAGUAUAUAUUGUAUAUAAAACUGUGUCAACCUCCCAAAGUAUAGUACAUGAUUUCUUUAAUAAACAGUAAUGGCAAUAUAUAAUAUUAUGCGUUGCUGCCUACUAGAUUUUUUGUUGUUUUAUUUCUUCCUUUUAUGGUUCCGUUAAUCUGGAUUACUUCUUAAAAUUGUAAAAUGUGAAGUGAUCAAUAUCAAAACACAAAAGUGAUGAAUUUGCAUGAAUAUUUGAUUUCUCAUAAACAUAAGUGCUUCUGUUGGAAAGUUACAAACUGUUACAUUUUUAUAUACAGUACUGUAAAAUACAGGUCCCUACCACAAUAAAUGGGAAACUCCUCAUAUCAGAAAGCACAGCUACAAAAAUCUGUCAGAAUACAAUCAGAAAAGAUAAUUUUUUUUUACCAUCAUGUUGAUUUAUUGAUUUAAAAUAAAAAUAAUUUAUACAAAAUAUGGGUAUCGACUAGAUUAAGAGAACAAACAAACAAACAAACAAACAAACAAACAAACAAUACCACAACUUCC
rnacentral:lncRNA from 1 species